rnacentral:rRNA from 1 species
AACGAACGCUGGCGGCAGGCCUAACACAUGCAAGUCGAACGCCCCCGGAGCAAUCCGGGGGAGAGGCAGACGGGUGAGUAACGCGUGGGAACCUUCCCAGUGGUACGGAAUAACCCAUCGAAAGGUGGGCUAAUACCGUAUACGCCCGAACGGGGAAAGAUUUAUCGCCAUUGGAUGGGCCCGCGUCGGAUUAGCUAGGUGGUAGGGUAACGGCCUACCAAGGAGACGAUCCGUAGCUGGUCUGUGAGGAUGAUCAGCCACACUGGAACUGAGACACGGUCCAGACUCCUACGGGAGGCAGCAGUGGGGAAUAUUGGACAAUGGGCGCCAGCCUGAUCCAGCCAUGCCGCGUGUGGGAAGAAGGCCUUCGGGUUGUAAAGCACUUUCAGUAGGGAGGAAGCGUUGUGUGUUAAUAGUACACAGCGUUGACGUUACCUACAGAAGAAGCACCGGCUAACUCUGUGCCAGCAGCCGCAGUAAAAC